rfam:Sus scrofa breed Duroc isolate TJ Tabasco Contig1914_1, whole genome shotgun sequence.
UCCCUGGUAGUCUAGUGAUUAGGACUCAGCACUUCCAUCAUUGUGGCCCAGGUUCCAUCCCUGGUCCGGGAA